rnacentral:rRNA from 1 species
UCGCCUGUUUUAUCAAAAACAUGUCUUCUUGAUUAUAAUUUGAAGUCUGACCUGCCCACUGAAUUUUAAAUUUUAAGGGCCGCGGUAUUUUGACCGUGCAAAGGUAGCAUAAUCAUUAGUCUUUUAAUUGAAGGCUAGAAUGAAUGGUUGGACGAGGUAUUGACUGUCUCAGUAUAAAUGAGAGUAGAAUUUAACUUUUAAGUCAAAAGGCUUAAAUGUCAUUAAAGGACGAGAAGACCCUAUAGAGCUUUAUAUUAAAUUGAUUAUUAUUAAUUUAGAAGAAUUUUUUUAAUAGUUAGUGAAGUAUUUUGUUGGGGUGACAGGAAGAUAUAUAAAACUCUUUUUAGUUUAAUUACAUUGAUUUAUGAAUUGUUGAUCCAUUUUUAGUGAUUAUAAGACUAAGUUACCUUAGGGAUAACAGCGUAAUCUUUUUCGAGAGUUCUUAUCGACAAAAAGGGUUGCGACCUCGAUGUUGGAUUAAGGGUAAUUUUGGGUGUAGAUGUUCAAAGUUUAGGUCUGUUCGACCUUUAAAUCCUUACAUGAUCUGAGUUCAAACCGGAGA